GGAAGGGUCAUAGCUCAGUGGUAGAGUAUUUGUUUUCAGAUGCAAAAGGGUGCAAGUUCAAAUUCCUGGGUUCUCCA